rnacentral:rRNA from 1 species
GAUGAACGCUGGCGGCGUGCCUAAUACAUGCAAGUCGAGCGAACUGAUUAGAAGCUUGCUUCUAUGACGUUAGCGGCGGACGGGUGAGUAACACGUGGGCAACCUGCCUGUAAGACUGGGAUAACUUCGGGAAACCGAAGCUAAUACCGGAUAGGAUCUUCUCCUUCAUGGGAGAUGAUUGAAAGAUGGUUUCGGCUAUCACUUACAGAUGGGCCCGCGGUGCAUUAGCUCGUCGGUGAGGUAACGGCUCACCAAGGCAACGAUGCAUAGCCGACCUGAGAGGGUGAUCGGCCACACUGGGACCGAGACACGGCCCAGACUCCUACGGGAGGCAGCAGUAGGGAAUCUUCCGCAAUGGACGAAAGUCUGACGGAGCAACGCCGCGUGAGUGAUGAAGGCUUUCGGGUCGUAAAACUCUGUUGUUAGGGAAGAACAAGUACGAGAGUAACUGCUCGUACCUUGACGGUACCUAACCAGAAAGCCACGGCUAACUACGUGCCAGCAGCCGCCGUAACAC